rnacentral:rRNA from 1 species
GAGCGGAUGACGGGAGCUUGCUCCUUGAUUCAGCGGCGGACGGGUGAGUAAUGCCUAGGAAUCUGCCUGGUAGUGGGGGACAACGUUUCGAAAGGAACGCUAAUACCGCAUACGUCCUACGGGAGAAAGCAGGGGACCUUUGGGCCUUGCGCUAUCAGAUGAGCCUAGGUCGGAUUAGCUAGUUGGUGGGGUAAUGGCUCACCAAGGCGACGAUCCGUAACUGGUCUGAGAGGAUGAUCAGUCACACUGGAACUGGGACACGGUCCAGACUCCUACGGGAGGCAGCAGUGGGGAAUAUUGGACAAUGGGCGAAAGCCUGAUCCAGCCAUGCCGCGUGUGUGAAGAAGGUCUUCGGAUUGUAAAGCACUUUAAGUUGGGAGGAAGGGCAGUAAGUUAAUACCUUGCUGUUUUGACGUUACCGACAGAAUAAGCACCGGCUAACUCUGUG